UUCCAGCUGAUGAGUCCCAAAAUGGGACGAAACGUGCGUCAAACUGGAU
rnacentral:hammerhead_ribozyme from 1 species